rnacentral:rRNA from 1 species
AGAGUUUGAUCCUGGCUCAGGACGAACGCUGGCGGCGCGCCUAACACAUGCAAGUCGAACGAGCGAGAGAGAGCUUGCUUUCUCGAGCGAGUGGCGAACGGGUGAGUAACGCGUGAGGAACCUGCCUCAAAGAGGGGGACAACAGUUGGAAACGACUGCUAAUACCGCAUAAGCCCACGGGUCGGCAUCGACCAGAGGGAAAAGGAGCAAUCCGCUUUGAGAUGGCUUCGCGUCCGAUUAGCUAGUUGGUGAGGUAACGGCCCACCAAGGCAACGAUCGGUAGCCGGACUGAGAGGUUGAACGGCCACAUUGGGACUGAGACACGGCCCAGACUCCUACGGGAGGCAGCAGUGGGGAAUAUUGCACAAUGGGGGAAACCCUGAUGCAGCGACGCCGCGUGGAGGAAGAAGGUCUUCGGAUUGUAAACUCCUGUUGUUGAGGAAGAUAAUGACGGUACUCAACAAGGAAGUGACGGCUAACUACGUGCCAGCAGCCGCGGUAAAACGUAGGUCACAAGCGUUGUCCGGAAUUACUGGGUGUAAAGGGAGCGCAGGCGGGAAGACAAGUUGGAAGUGAAAUCCAUGGGCUCAACCCAUGAACUGCUUUCAAAACUGUUUUUCUUGAGUAGUGCAGAGGUAGGCGGAAUUCCCGGUGUAGCGGUGGAAUGCGUAGAUAUCGGGAGGAACACCAGUGGCGAAGGCGGCCUACUGGGCACCAACUGACGCUGAGGCUCGAAAGUGUGGGUAGCAAACAGGAUUAGAUACCCUGGUAGUCCACACCGUAAACGAUGAUUCCUAGGUGUUGGAGGAUUGACCCCUUCAGUGCCGCAGUUAACACAAUAAGUAAUCCACCUGGGGAGUACGACCGCAAGGUUGAAACUCAAAGGAAUUGACGGGGGCCCGCACAAGCAGUGGAGUAUGUGGUUUAAUUCGACGCAACGCGAAGAACCUUACCAAGUCUUGACAUCCUGCGACGGUGCUGGAAACAGUGUUUUCCUUCGGGACGCAGAGACAGGUGGUGCAUGGUUGUCGUCAGCUCGUGUCGUGAGAUGUUGGGUUAAGUCCCGCAACGAGCGCAACCCUUAUGGUCAGUUACUACGCAAGAGGACUCUGGCCAGACUGCCGUUGACAAAACGGAGGAAGGUGGGGAUGACGUCAAAUCAUCAUGCCCCUUAUGACUUGGGCUACACACGUGCUACAAUGGCGUAAACAAAGGGAAGCGAGCCUGCGAGGGGGAGCAAAUCUCAAAAAUAACGUCUCAGUUCGGACUGCAGUCUGCAACUCGACUGCACGAAGCUGGAAUCGCUAGUAAUCGCGAAUCAGAAUGUCGCGGUGAAUACGUUCCCGGGUCUUGUACACACCGCCCGUCA